CUACGGGUGGCUGCAGUAGGAAAUUUUCGACAAUGGGGGGAACCCUGAUCGAGCAAUGCCGCGUGAAUGAAGAAGGUCUUCGGACUGUAAAGUUCUUUUAUUGGAGAAGAAUGGUCACAUCAGGAAAUGGGAGUGAUUUGACGGUAUCCAUUGAAUAAGCCCCGGCUAACUACGUGCCAGCAGCCGCGGUAAUACGUAGGGGGCGAGCGUUAUCCGGAAUUAUUGGGCGUAAAGCGUGCGUAGGCGGUUUGUUAAGUCACUUGUAAAAGAUCUCAGCCCAACUGAGUAGGGCGAGUGAAACUGGCAGACUCGAAUACGGUAGAGGUAAGCGGAAUUCCAUGUGUAGCGGUGGAAUGCGUAGAUAUAUGGAGGAACACCAAUGGCGAAGGCAGCUUACUGGGCCGGAAUUGACGCUGAGGCACGAAAGCGUGGGGAGCAAACAGGAUUAGAUACCCGCGUAGUC
rnacentral:rRNA from 1 species